UACGUAGGGGGCUAGCGUUGUCCGGAAUCAUUGGGCGUAAAGCGCGCGUAGGCGGCCCUGUUAGUCCGCUGUUAAAAAGUCAAAGGCUCAACCUUUGAAUGCCCGGUGGAUACUGCAGGGCUAGAGUCCGGAAGAGGCGAGUGGAAUUCCUGGUGUAGCGGUGGAAUGCGCAGAUAGUCAGGAGGAACACCAACGGCGAAGGCAGCUCGCUGGGACGGUACUGACGCUGAGGCGCGAAAGCGUGGGGAGCGAACAGGAUUGA
rnacentral:rRNA from 1 species